CCCUAUUUUUUACCCCAAGUUGGAGUGCUUUCUCUCUCGGUAAUAUAUUAGCAGCAUAUAAAUAUCUGCUGGUUAACACGAGAUGCAUGUCGGCCAAUCCGAAAUUAGUUUUUAUGUUUUAUUUGCGAUAAUAUUUUCCUUUUCCCUAUUGUUAGUAGGAGUAAUUUUGCACCUGCUUACAUUUGGAGGAAUUGCUCAUUGGCUGAAUUAUCACGGAUUUUUGGGUAAAAGACCGAAAAGUAAAGUGAAAAAGAAAGCCCUAGCAGAGGUUUAUGAUGCAAAGGAGGAUUAUUUCAGACAGCUACCAGAUGAUGUUUUGUCUACCAUUCUCGCACAUUUGACAAUAACAGAUGCUGUUAGGACGAGCAUUUUAUCUAGAAGGUGGAAAUAUCUCUUUGCCUCUAUGCCUACAUUAAGACUCUUGCGAUCACAAUCGUUGUCCUUACUAUCAGCAAAAGUUCUUGACAGGAGUAAAUAAGUUAUUACAACUUUAUUCAGGUCGUAAGGUGUCUGGUGUUACUAUAACCUUUUGCUUUUGGAACAAGUUUUCUAGUGAAUUUGACAAAUGCAUGCAUUCUAUUUCAAGAUUAAGUGUUGAAAUACUUCGUCUUUCUUCUGAUCGAGGCGUUAUUUACCCCUGCCACUACCCUUACCCCAUCCGCGACCCCAACAAGGUGUUUAAAUUUUCUCUUGAGCUCCUCUCUGAGUCUCAGGCAUCCUCAUUGAAACACUUGAUUUUAUGUUAUUGCAUUGUCCAGCCAAGUUUCAGAGUCCGUCUUACCUCUCUCAAGACCCUUACUUUGCAUGAUGUUAUAUUAGCAAGCGGACAACUUGAGGGUGUUUUGUCCUCUUGUUUAAAUCUUAACCAUUUAAAGCUACAAUUGCAAACUUCUUUAUAAGUUAGUCAUAUCUGGUACACUAACAUCCAUUGUUUUCUUUGAUUGUGGUGAAUUGGAAGAGAUUGAUCUUCGAGCUAAAAAUCUUCGUUUGUUUGAGUGUAUCUUCUGUAGCAAAGUAAGAUUUUAUUUUUCAUCUGUUCCCAUGUUGGAAAAUGUAAUGAUUAGUGUUCAUGGAGCUGAUGUAAUGCCAUUCAUAUUUGGUGAUUUUGCAAGAGAUUUACUUGCUCAGGUCAAAUCUUUAACCGUUAAAGCGAUUUAUGAUCAGAUAAAAUACUUCCCAACAGAGAUACUAAUAUUCAGAAACCUUAGGAAACUAAACAUGGUACUUGUGCUCACGGACGACUUUGACAUAGUCAAAAUUUCCCCUCUUAGGCGCCUGUCCUCUUUUCUGAUAUUUGAAUGUUGUGCAAUCGAGGACAACAAGGGAAGCAAGAGGAAGUGGCAUAAUUAGGCCUCAUUUAUCUCCUACAUAUCACACUGAGCUAAAAGAAGUGAAAUUUGGAGGAUUUGUUGGAACAGAAGAAGAGAUUGAAUUUGUUGUUUAUAUUCUGAGAAGUGCAAUGGUACUUGAACAAAUGUUACUCGGCCCUUGUUUUAAAUGGUAUUGUGGUAGUGGUAUAUGGGAGGAAUUGUCGGGUUUUUCGCUUGAUGAAAGAAAACGCAACUCAAUCCAACAAGAACUACAUGGGCAAGCUAUCUCUAGUAAUGCCGUGGUGAUCAUUCAAUAGGUUCUAGUAAUGGGUGGUAUUCUAGUAAUGUUUUGAAGGAAAACAUUCUUGCACUGCAAAUGCACAUUUUCUCUCAUUUUUUAUUCUUCGUUUGAAUAAUAUUAGUUUCUCCAUUCUUCGUUUGGCAUGUCAA